GUCAAGCACAGAAUCGUGUGAGAAAGAGCGAGAAAUCGAAGAGGCAGCAGCAGCAGCAUCUCAGUACACAUCGAUAUGGCUGUCGGUAUAUUGACCUCGGGAAGGGGGAAACCCUCCCCUCCCCACCCCCACUUUUCGAUGAUAUUUGAAUGCCGCGCAGGGCACGGCGGAGAUACCGUGGGCUCCAGGAUCCCUCGGCCCCAUCGUAAGGAUUCUCGUCAAAUCACUAACCACAAGCCCAUCCGAUUACGUGCAAUUUCGCGCCUGCAAGUAUACUAAUCGGUACACUCGUAAUUCAAUAUUCACAGCUUCGCUGGCUAUGGAUUAGCGCCUCGGGGUUAACACCGCUUGCCCCCCAACUUAAUGAGCCGAGUGUUUUUUUUUUUUUUUUUUUUUUUUUUAAAAUCUUUUGUUUUUAUUUUUUAUUUUUUAUGGGUGGGUGCUGUCUGUAAGCUCAGCAGCAUCGUCGUCGUUGUGUGCCCAAUGCUUGUUUAGCGAAAUCAAAGCUGGUGUGCUUCCCACGGUUGUGUACUGAGCUCACCAGAAAAAAAUGAGGCUGUGCAUCUGUGCAUCCCUGUGAAUGUGAAGCGAUGAAGCUGUUGUUGGCAUCCCCGGGAGGAUUGAUUAUGUGUGAUGAGAGCCUGCUCGCCCACGAGUUUCCUUUCUCUUGUUGUAUGCAUUGCUCACGGUCGCAGACUGGCGGCGCCUUGUGAAAGUCCAAGGUUUCCACCCUUUGACCUGGUCUCCCCGCCGAAUUCCUGCCCGUUUAACGUGUAUUCCUCGUGCACCAGUGCACCGAGCUCAGCAUCUCCUGGAUCCUUCGUUCCGGCCGCCCAUCUUGGUUUUUUUUUACCGUGCACAUGGUAUAAUUUUAGUGUUUCUGGAUUGUCGAGGUCUUUUUCGGGUGCAGGGAGUGGGAAGUGAGGCGGAAGGUUUAGACCUGUCAGUUUUAGCGAGCGACUUCGGGAGACUGUUGUGUGUGUGUGUGUGUGUGUGUGUGUGUUUGUUUUAUUUUAUUUUUUGGAAUUAGUGAUGAGGUAAUUUUUCUGCUGUUGCGGGCGCGAGUUCGGAGUAUCAGGCGGGAGAGCUUCAGCUAGGUAGGAAUCUCUGGGAGUGUCAGCUUCGGGCGUGGGAACCUCUCUCGCAGGCUGUUGACCCCUUGGGUGCGAAUUGGUUGAACUGCAAGUUGGCUUGUGGAGCCAUGGAGAGGGCGACGACGUCACCAUGUUGUUGCAGGAACCUCUAAGGUGAAGUUGCACCACAAGGUUGAAGAGGGUAAGCCUUGCGUGUGCCCUAGUGUAGUGGAGAAUGAAGGGAUUAGAACAUAGUACAAGCCGGAAGUGGUCUCGUCGUGAAGAGAUGUUAGAGGAGGAAGAUGAGGAGCUGCCGGUAAUGAGUAAGGCUAUGGUGGCGAGGCGAAAGUGGUUACAAUGGCGGUGGUGUGGGCUGAACGUUUUCGUAUUGGUAAUCUUCAUGGCUGUGGCGCUUGUUACUGAAGUGAGUGCAAGCGAGGGUGUUGAGCAGUUGUCUGCACGAGUGGAGAAUUUGGGUGAGACUGCAGUACCGAAGGCCAUGGCAGGACGUUACAGUACUGUCGAAAUUAAUUCUUGGAUCCCCAUAUUAUCUUUUUGCUUCGUGUUCGUUGUUGGCGUGAGCACCGGGCUCUGGUGGAGUGGUUUCCACAUAAUCCCAAGGGCGGAGACAGCUGAACCUUCGUCUUCUUCGCCACCGUCGUCUUCUUCCCUGGGGGAACUGCGCAACCGGCAGAUCGCUCGGGCGAGCUCGGUAGGCACGUUGCGGCAGUUUAAGCUGGCUGAGCUAGUGGAGAUGACGGAUCACUUCAAGGAGCCGAUUGGGCGAGGCGGCCAAGGCACAGUGUACUCUGCUCAUCUGCCUGAGGGCUGCAGCAAGGCCGCAGUGAAGAAACUGCAAAAGCAUGAAGCGAAUCUUAUGCUCCGCGACAAUGUGGUGAGCGACCAUAACCAAGAGGAAAUGGAAAGGGCAUUUUGGGAGGAGCUCAAAAUAAUCUCCAAGCUCCACCAUCGCAACCUUGUGGCUCUUUUAGGCUACUGCGUCGAAAAGGACGACUUGUUUCUGGUGUAUGAAUUCAUGGGCAAAGGCUCCCUCAGCCAAUACCUACACCCCAAAACCAAGGCAGAAGAGAAGAGCCUGAGCUGGAAGGAGCGUAUGCAAUGCGCAGUUGAUGUAGCGCAGGGUUUGGAAUAUCUUCACAACCACGCAAAUCCUUCUCUCGUGCACCGGGACAUCAAAUCUGCCAACAUUCUCUUCGAUGAUGAAAUGAAUGCUAAGAUUGCAGAUUUUGGGUUGAGUAAGCCUGUUAUACUGGAACAAGAGGCAAGCAUGUCGAUUCGACUGCGAGGCACUUAUGGAUACGUUGAUCCUGUGUAUUUGCUAAACGGCCGACCCUGUGCCAAGAACGACGUGUACAGCUACGGCGUGGUACUGUUGGAGCUUAUUACAGGUCGGCGUGCCCUUGAGAACAAAGGCAAUGUGAACUUGGUACAAUGGGUCAAAGAGUCUCUAGGCACACAUGAUAUUCCGAUGCGUCAAAUUUCGCGCAUUGUUGACCCCCAGAUAGCCCUGGACAUCCUUUACGACCAGUUCUCUGAGGUUGUGAAGCUGGCCCUAAGCUGCGUCCAUGAGAGGCAGGAUAGCCGGCCCAGCAUGCAAGAUGUGGUUGCUGGAUUGUAUAAUGCCAAGGCCAUAGAGGACGCCCAAAGCACCGAGUCUCCUCUUGCUCAUGUAUUGCCUAUGAGUCGCAAUGGUGGCUCUGUUUAUGAUGGUAGUUCGAUGGGGACUCCGCGAACGCACGCGCUGCACGACUGGUCAUCAUCUUAUGAGAUAAAGGACAACAGCAUCCUCGUCAAAUGCACCAUCGCAGGUUUCAGAAUCAUGUUGAGAUGUAAGAUAUGGCCAUCCCUCAAGAACUUUGGGUUGAACAAGGUGGAGGCUUCAUUGAACGAUGCGUUUCUCUGGAAAAAGGGCCUCUGGUUCUACAAUGCAAAGAGCACUCGUGAGUUCACAGUUGGUGAUGAUAUCAAGGUGAUCGCUGAGUGGCAUGUCGCACUAAGAACCGGAUAUUACAAUCUGCCUGCUAACGAUCCAAGAAGAAGUCAAGGCCCUUUCUGCGUCGAGUACUUAGCUCUUAAGGAUGUGAACGGUCCUUUGGUUGAAUACCUUGGUGACAAGUCACCAUGGCCGGAACCCGUGCCCCAAGAACGGAGGCCGAGGAGGGAGAGUAGUGGGGGGUCUGGUUCCGGCUCAGUAGAACGUCGGAGGAGUAGUGGCCAUCACAGGCGUCCCAGUUAACACCCUUGCAUUGUUUUUUGAUGCACCCUGAAGCCCCAACUUCCAGAGCCUUACUACUAUGUUCACGUAUGGCGCUGCUCUUGAGCUUUGUCAGCGCUUCUGACCUUACAGUGAGGAUUCACGAUUCUCAAUCUCGUUAGUUGACACGGUAGAGCUGGUGACUAUUAUUGUAUAUUUCGGAGAUGUAACAUUACACAUUUAUUUCAUCAGUGGGUUUCAAGGUCAGAAUGUGGAUGAGAGAAGAUGCAACCACGCAGGACAUCUACUUCAGAUACUGUGCAUAAUUUAUUUGCGCUUAGAGUUUGCAGACCGGUGGAUUGUCGAUUUUGAAACUAAAGCAUAUGUUGACCAAUUUUUUAAACGCUAGCUGAUAAUCAGCUACAGAUCUCCACUUUGAAAUUUAUGUGUAAAACUGGUUUUCUUCGAGAAUGAAAUGUUACUCUUGCUUGAAUUA